UAAAUACAGACAGUAUUUACAAUCUAAAAUUAAAGCAAUGCUGCCUAUAAAACCAUACACAAUGUAUUUUCUCAGAGCAGUUUUUCACUUCCAUGGAGUCUAUGUGUUUUCCUCCUGUACACAAUUUAUUUCCCUAAAAACUCUCUGGAUUCUGUUAAAUAUUACAUAAAUCUGAGGAUUUUACAGGCUAUCCAAUAAGCACUAUAUGGUAAAGACGUGAAAGUGGACAAAAUAAUGAUAGUGAAAACGGAUCCCUGUAUUAACAGGUAGCGGCUUUUCUGUUUUACUCUCUCGUCUAAUGAAGUACGACAGUAUUGAUCUGAGCAUCAAUAAUGAACUUCCAGCAACAGAAAGUCCACACCCAAUCUAAGCAAGCCGAGAAGACCACUCAAGACAAGAGAAAAGGACAAGCAAUUAAGAGGAGGAAGCAAGUGAGGAUGACACAUUUCCUGUCAAAGUCAGAAACUGGAUCAAUAUACACUUGUCUAUAACACUAUCAGCCAGUACCAGGUUGGCCAAAGAAGAUGGUGUAACACAAGAUGGUGUAAUUUCCUAAAGAGAAAUCCACCAGUGUGGGCUUUUCUGCAAGUUUUCAUAUUCUACAAUACAGGCAAAUAACAGAAAUGAAUAUAAUCUUAUUCAAUGUGUAUGACCUACAAAUACUUUUACAGCAAGUCGUGUACAGUACCCAAUAGUAUUUCUCAUAUACUUGGUAUAAUGAUUAUGCCGAUUAUGCACUGCACAAUAUGGAUGACGUUGCGAUAGCUAGCUAAUAUCAAUGACAAGUCCGAAAACCCAUAUCACAUAUAUAUACCAGCGUGCAAAAAUGUAUAUCAAUCCUGAAAUUAUGUAUUCACUCGUAACAAUCAACGUAUCAAAGAUUUUACCAUGUAAAUCAAUGUAUCAUUAGGUUUUUACCAUAGUAAAUCAAUGUAUGAAAGUUUUUACCAAAGUUAAUUAAGGUAUCAAAGAUUUUACCAAAGUAAAUCAUUGCAUCAAAUUUACCAUAGUACAGUAAUAUAUCAAAUGUUCCUUGAUGAACCUUUUUAAAAAUGCAAAACAGUAACCCGCAUGUGAUGAAAAGAAUAUUUUAUAAAAUCAACUCUCAGACUCCAUAUCUCCUCCAAGCCAUCAAAAACACUACUAUUUGUAAUUUAUUGCAAUAUUUAAGCAUGAGAAAGUGCAGUAUAUGAUAAAAAGAAUAUCACAUGCUAAAAUUCACAUCAUAUAUCAUCCCUCGGGUUCCAUAUCAAACCUUGGGCCUUCGAAUCUCGGGCCGAUAUGGGCCAUUCGGGCUGAUAUGAUGUUGAUUUCAGAAUGUCAUUUUUCCUAUUAUUCUCUCAAUAUAACAGAGUUUGUAUACAGUACCAUAACUGUAUAUUCACAGACAGUAUGUAAAGAAAAUAAGUUGUCAACUUUAUAUGACCAUAGAAGUAUGAAUGAACCUA